AAAGGGUGGGGGGGUUGCUUUUCAGAAUCACCACAGAGUUGCAUUUCAACCAUAUUUUUGGAAGUCACAUUAUCCAUGACCAACUUCCAAGUUGCUGAACUGGUAUCUGGUUAAUUGCCUUACUCCAGUAGAUUAUUGGUAUUCUCUUUUCCAUAGAGUAGCUUUCAGCCAUAACUAUGUUACCGAUAUGUUGUAGACAUACCAUAAUAACAUUCUAUGAUGAGUAUUCAUCAACAGCAUCCAUCUUACAGUGACAUUGUUUCUAGUUUCUGAAAGACAUUAGGAGCACCGAUUUUAAAUAGGA
rnacentral:misc_RNA from 1 species